CUUUUAAUUGAAGGCUUGUAUGAAUGGUUGGACGAGAUAUUAACUGUUUCAUUUUAAUUUUUUUUAGAAUUUAAUUUUUUAGUAAAAAAGCUAAAAUUUAUUUAAAAGACGAGAAGACCCUAUAAAUCUUUAUAUUAGAUUUAUUAUUAUUAUUUAGAUUUAUUUUAUUAUAAUAAUUAAUAAUAUUUUAUUGGGGUGAUAUUAAAAUUUAUCUAACUUUUAAUAUUUUAUUUCAUUAAUUUAUGAAUAAAUGAUCCGUUUUUAACGAUUAAAAAUAUAAGUUACUUUAGGGAUAACAGCGUAAUUUUUUUGGAGAGUUCUUAUCGAUAAAAAAGAUUGC
rnacentral:rRNA from 1 species